rnacentral:lncRNA from 1 species
ACUGUACCGGUACACAAAAUCCUGUCACCGGUACAUAGCCUUUUUCUACUCAACCCGAGAGCUACUUCUCUCGGUUUUACACUAUGUACCGGUACACUUUUGAUGUUAAACCGGUAACACAACUCCAGAUUUCAGAUUUUCGCAUCUUUUCGAUUCUAUUUCGCUUCGAUAAAUGCUAAAACAUUUCUAACUCUUUUAAACUCAUUUUAAACUCUUCCAACCUUGUUGGAACGCUAAAUGGAACUUGUCCAACCAGUUCUCUCGGCACUUUAACCCAAUUUGGGUAAAGUCCAAUAUUCUCUACCGAGUUUUGGUAUGUUACAUUCUCCACCCCUUAAAAUUAGUUUCGUCCGCGAAACUAACACAUACCUUAGCUCAUCGACUCAAAUAAGUGAAGAUACAUCUUUCGUAUCGUCUCCUCAAGCUCCCAAGUGGCUUUACCCGCCGCAUGGUUGCCCCACUGGACCUUAACAUAUGGAACUGUUCGAUUCUGCUGUUUUCUUUCCUCCAAAUCGAGAAUGCAAAUCGAAUAUUCCUCAUUAAUCAUAUCCUCGCGCAACUCUUCCGGUUCAUACUCCGAUAUGUGAGUUGAACUACGAAUAUACUUGCUGUUAAGGAUUUUAUAGGUUGGCGGAUUUCGUAAUGUUGAAUGGAGUCUUGAAGAGUUGAUUGCGGAAGAUUGAAGAAAGAUCUAAAUUGAAGAACAAAGACUCGUAAAGUUC